rnacentral:tRNA from 1 species
GGCCGUCUGGCGCAAUGGUAGCGCAUUUCUUUCCGGUCUUUCAUUCUCCGUGAUGAAUUCUAGAACAUGGAAAAGGUUGCGUGUUCGAGUCGCGCGAUGGUCG